rnacentral:rRNA from 1 species
AACGAACGCUGGCGGCAUGCCUAACACAUGCAAGUCGAACGGGAUCCUGGUUUCGGCCAGGUGAGAGUGGCGGACGGGUGAGUAACGCGUGGGAACCUGCCCAGUGGUGGGGGAUAACUGCGGGAAACUGCAGCUAAUACCGCAUGAGCCCGCAAGGGGAAAGAUUGAUCGCCAUUGGAGGGGCCCGCGUUCGAUUAGGUAGUUGGUGAGGUAACGGCUCACCAAGCCUACGAUCGAUAGCUGGUCUGAGAGGAUGAUCAGCCACACUGGGACUGAGAUACGGCCCAGACUCCUACGGGAGGCAGCAGUGGGGAAUAUUGGACAAUGGGGGCAACCCUGAUCCAGCAAUGCCGCGUGAGUGAUGAAGGCCUUCGGGUUGU